UACGAAGGGGGCUAGCGUUGCUCGGAAUGACUGGGCGUAAAGGGCGCGUAGGCGGUUUGGACAGUCAGGCGUGAAAUUCCCGGGCUUAACCUGGGGGCUGCGCUUGAUACAUCCAGGCUUGAGUGGGGAAGAGGGUCGUGGAAUUCCCAGUGUAGAGGUGAAAUUCGUAGAUAUUGGGAAGAACACCGGUGGCGAAGGCGGCGACCUGGUCCUUUACUGACGCUGAGGCGCGAAAGACGUGGGGAGCAAACAGG
rnacentral:rRNA from 1 species